AACCUGGUUGAUCCUGCCAGUAGUCAUAUGCUUGUCUCAAAGAUUAAGCCAUGCAUGUGUAAGCACACACUGUUUAAAAGUGAAGCCGCGAAUGGCUCAUUACAACAGCCACAGUUUAUUAGAACUUACAAUCAUGGAUAACUGUGGUAAUUCUAGAGCUAAUACACGCACAAAAACUUCAACUGAAUUGGUUGAAGUGCUUUUAUUAGAACAAAAACCGAACGGCGUUUGACGAAUGUUGAACGUCGAAACUGUUUGGUGAAUCUGAAUAACUAUUUCUGAUCGCAUGGUCUAGCACCGGCGACAUCACUUUCAAGUGUCUGCCUUAUCAACCUUCGAUGGUAGUCUAUGCGACUACCAUGGUGAUAACGGGUAACGGAGAAUCAGGGUUCGACCCCGGAGAGGGAGCCUGAGAAACGGCUACCACAUCCAAGGAAGGCAGCAGGCGCGCAAAUUACCCACUCCCAGCUUGGGGAGGUAGUGACGAAAAAUAACGAGACGAUUCUCGUUUGAGAAACGUUAUCGAAAUGAGUACGCUUUACACACGCUAACGAGUAGCAAUUGGAGGGCAAGUCUGGUGCCAGCAGCCGCGGUAAUUCCAGCUCCAAUAGCGUAUAUUAAAGUUGCUGCGGUUAAAACGCUCGUAGUUGAAUUGUGGUCUUAGACAACAGUCCCCCUACAUAGGUGUGGCACGGUUGCUCGAGAUCUUCAUUCGUGGUUGCUGUUGUUGCUCUUCAUUGAGUGUCAAUGGUGCCUCGAGAUUUUACUUUGAAAAAAUUAGAGUGCUCAAAGCAGGUUGUGAUGCCUGAAUAAUGGUGCAUGGAAUAAUAGAAUACGAUCUCGGUUCUAUUUUGUUGGUUUUCGAACCGGAGAUAAUGAUUGAAAGGAACAGACGGGGGCAUUCGUAUUGCUGCGUUAGAGGUGAAAUUCUUGGAUCGCAGCAAGAUGAACAAUUGCGAAAGCAUUUGCCAAGAAUGUUUUCAUUAAUCAAGAACGAAAGUUAGAGGUUCGAAGGCGAUCAGAUACCGCCCUAGUUCUAACGGUAAACUAUGCCAACCAGCGAUUCGCCGAAGUUCAUUUAAGACUCGGCGAGCAGCUUCCGGGAAACCAAAGUGUUUCGGUUCCGGGGGAAGUAUGGUUGCAAAGCUGAAACUUAAAGGAAUUGACGGAAGGGCACCACCAGGAGUGGAGCCUGCGGCUUAAUUUGACUCAACACGGGAAAACUCACCCGGCCCGGACACUGGAAGGAUUGACAGAUUGACAGCUCUUUCUUGAUUCAGUGGGUAGUGGUGCAUGGCCGUUCUUAGUUGGUGGAGCGAUUUGUCUGGUUAAUUCCGAUAACGAACGAGACUCUACCCUAUUAAAUAGUGACAGUAUUGUAUUUUUUGUGCUGAUCACUUCUUAGAGGGACUGGCAAAUUGAAAGCUGCACGAAAAAGAGCAAUAACAGGUCUGUGAUGCCCUUCGAUGUCCGGGGCUGCACGCGCGCUACAAUGAAAGCGUCAACGUGAGUUACGUCCUUACCUGAAAAGGUUUGGCAAUCGAAUGAAACGUUUUCUUGAAUGGAAUAGGGAAUUGCAAUUGUUUCCCUUGAACGAGGAAUUCCCAGUAAGCGUGAGUCAUUAGCUCGCGUUGAUUACGUCCCUGCCCUUUGUACACACCGCCCGUCGCUACUACCGAUUGGAUGAUUUAGUGAGGUGUUUUGACUGGCGCCAGUAGUCGGAUGUAUUCGGCUUCGCGCCGGGAAAUUUCCCAAACCAAAUCAUCUAGAGGAAGUAAAAGUCGUAACAAGGUUUCCGUAGGUGAACCUGCGGAAGGAUCAUUA
rnacentral:rRNA from 1 species